ACAGCAGUCGCCGCGGUAAUACGAAGGGUGCAAGCGUUAAUCGGAAUUACUGGGCGUAAAGCGUGCGUAGGCGGUGAGUUAAGUCUGCUGUGAAAUCCCCGGGCUCAACCUGGGAAUGGCAGUGGAUACUGGCUCGCUAGAGUGUGUCAGAGGAUGGUGGAAUUUCCGGUGUAGCAGUGAAAUGCGUAGAGAUCGGAAGGAACAUCUGUGGCGAAGGCGACUAUCUGGGCCAACACUGACACUGAGGCACGAAAGCGUGGGGAGCAAACAGGAUUAGAUACCCGAGUAGUCCCUGUCUCUUAUAC
rnacentral:rRNA from 1 species